CCACAACCCAAACCAAAACAAGGAAAAAACUGAGUCUCUGCUUUUGCCACUGAACUGAGUGAAAACAUAAUGAUGAAAUGUAUAUGAACUGGAAAGGAAUGUGCCUAGGUUCCAUUCUGGAGCAAUCUAAGUGGAGUGUCAACAUAACGAGGACAAUAGAAAAUUAAAACGUCAAAACUAGUCUAUAGAGCUAUAUCAAUGGGGCGCUGGCACUAAAUCUUGCAGAUACAACAUAAAUUUUAGCAGUCCAACGCAUGCUGAGAAAAGGUAAGAUACUAGGACCAGUAUGAAAAGAUAUUAUCUUGAUAAAAAAAGAGUACGAUUGUACGAAACACCAUUCAUAACAAAAGGCCAAUUUACCACAAGAUGUGCAUCUAACUGCGACGAAGGGCAGAUCCGAUGCAGUGGUGACAGCAUUCUCACUAAAUCUCCACAUUUGCUGGUUCCAAACAGACUCUCAACAUUUGCCGAAAGGCUUGCCUUGGUCAACCAAGGUCUGCCCUUUUUAUCUGCAUCUAACUGCGCCAAUCAUACCACAACAGUGAGAAUGAGAGAGAAGCGGCACCUUGCAGGGCCAGUUGUCGCGG
rnacentral:misc_RNA from 1 species